rnacentral:rRNA from 1 species
UACGUAGGAGGCGAGCGUUGUCCGGAGUUACUGGGCGUAAAGGGUGCGCAGGCGGUGGCCCGCGUGGGCGGUGAAAGCCCCCGGCUCAACUGGGGAGGGUCACUCGAUACUGAUCGACUCGAAGGCAGGAGAGGGAAGUGGAAUUCCCGGUGUAGUGGUGAAAUGCGUAGAUAUCGGGAGGAACACCAGUGGCGAAGGCGACUUCCUGGCCUGUUCUUGACGCUGAGGCGCGAAAGCUAGGGGAGCAAACGGG